rnacentral:rRNA from 1 species
CUUCACAAUGUGCGAAAGCGCGAUGAGGGAAUCCCAAGUGCAUGCACGUAAGUGUAUGCUGUUUCUUUGUUUAAAAAGCAUAGAGAGUAAGGGCUGGGUAAGACGGGUGCCAGCCGCCGCGGUAAUACCUGCAGCUCAAGUGGUGAUCGUUAUUAUUGGGCCUAAAACGUCCGUAGCCGGUUUAGUAAAUGCCUGGGUAAAUUGUGUAGCUCAACUAUACGAAUUCCGGGUAGACUGCUAAACUUGAGACCGGGAGAGGCUAGAGGUACUCCUGGGGUAGAGGUGAAAUUCUGUAAUCCUAGGGGGACCACCAGUGGCGAAGGCGUCUAGCUAGAACGGGUCUGACGGUGAGGGACGAAGCCCUGGGGCGCAAACCGGAUUAGAUACCCGGGUAGUCCAGGGUGUAAACGCUGCUUGCUUGAUGUUAGUCGGGCUCCGAGCCCGAUUAGUGUCGGAGAGAAGUUGUUAAGCAAGCUGCCUGGGAAGUACGGCCGCAAGACUGAAACUUAA